UACGAGGGGUGCAAGCGUUGCUCGGAAUUAUUGGGCGUAAAGGGUAGGUAGGUGGUCUCAUUUGUCUGGGGUGAAAGCCUUGAGCUUAACUCAAGAAGUGCCCCGGAAACGGUGAGACUGGAGUCCCGGAGAGGGUCGUGGAAUUCCCGGUGUAGCGGUGAAAUGCGUAGAGAUCGGGAGGAAUACCAGAGGCGAAGGCGGCGGACUGGACAGUCACUGACACUCAACUACGAAAGCGUGGGUAGCAAACAGG
rnacentral:rRNA from 1 species